AUGAGCUCCAUCUCCACGUCCUGGAGGCUGCCCAAGGCCACCACGGUCUCCAGCACCCAGGACACUCAUCCCACAGGACUGAGGAGUAAAACCCCUCCCGGAUGGAAGCAGCACCCAAACGUCCCAGCAGGACCCCGGCUCCCCGCUCCCUCGAGCCCUGCCGCUCCUUUCCCGGACCACCGAAAAGCUCUCGAACGAGGGGGAAAACUAAAGUGGCACAAAUUUAAUUCCAGGUGGGCAAACGCCCCGGCGCAUCCGGACACCGACGGCUCUCCGGCAGCAGGAAAACAGCGCAGGGAGAGGAACGCGGGGGCUGUCGCAUUUGCCAGGACCGAUUUAGCAAAAAUGCAUAUUAGAAAAGGUGAGAUACUGUUAUAUAUUAGCUCGAAACACCGUUUUCGAGACGAAACCCGUCUUCACGGCCGGCUCUUUCCUCAAGGAAGCAUUUUCCCAUGCUUCAGCUGGACCGCCGGCUGCAGAAAAAAAACUGGCUUUCCAGGCAUCGCCCUCUCCCGCCUCCAUGGGAGCUGGAGCAUCCCGGCAAAGCCCUUUUUUGCCCUCUUGCCCACAGGGAGAGCCAGGAUUUGGAGUUUGCAAAGUGAAGAGGGAGAGGCGGCGGCGUGGAGAGAAGGGCGCCUGCGCUGCCGGCCGGGCACGGGAAGCACUCCGAAAAAACUUGGGCAGUGUGCCGGGACAACGCCCGAAACCUGUUUGGGGUUGGGGUUUUUUUUUCCCCUCCCAAAUUGCUCUUUUUCUUUUUGUUUUUUUUUGUUUUUCCCUUUCCUAAUUGCUCUUGCUAUUUUAACCGGGAUGGACAUUUCCCUGACGAUUUUCAGCGGCUGCAAAGGCUUCGUCUCCUCCCUUCCCUCUCGACUCGGCUGGUGGCUUCUGCUGCCGGAGCCGGAGCAGCUGGAGUCAGAGGGGCUGGAGCAGCCAGAGCCGGAGCAACCGGAGCCAGAGAGGCCAAGGAAUGCGGGAUGCAGGCAGAGACGACCCGCACGUUUCUUCCCUGCGUUAUUUAAGCGAUUCCGUGUGCUGGACGCUCCGGCUCCAAGCGCCGCUCCAAAAACGGGAACCUCUCUGCGGCAGCGCGGCCUCCGCAAACUCAUCCCGCUUCGUCAACAAGCACCUGGCAGCUCCGGGGGGGGGUUUUCCCGCUGGGCCGGAGCCAGGACUCGGCGGGGGCUCGGGAGCCUCGUGCUCCGAGCGGGAGGCGGCCGGGGGACGACGGCACGGAGCUGCCGGUGGCUUGGCAGGGACGGGGCAUCCCGGCGGCGAAGAAGAAUUUCUUCGCCAAAAUUAAAACAAAAAAAAAAGAAAAAAAAACAAAACCACCCUUCGGGCCGGGAUCGCAUCCCUCCCGCUCCGGUUUCGUCCCUGUUUUGGGCU
rnacentral:lncRNA from 1 species